GAAUCUUGCGCAAUGGCCUAACGGCUGACGCAGCGACGCCGCGUGAGGGAUGACGCUCUUCGGAGUGUAAACCUCUUUUGUCUGAGACGAAUUGUCAGCUUUCGCUGAUUUGACGGUAUCGGGCGAAUAAGCACCGGCUAACUCCGUGCCAGCAGCCGCGGUAAUACGGGGGGUGCGAGCGUUGUCCGGAAUCACUGGGCGUAAAGGGCGCGUAGGUGGUCUUGUAAGGGUGUGGUGAAAGCCCGGGGCUCAACCCCGGGUCGGCCGUGCCGACUGUGAGACUAGAGUGCUGUAGGGGCAGGCGGAAUUCCGGGUGUAGCGGUGGAAUGCGUAGAGAUCCGGAGGAAGACCGGUGGCGAAGGCGGCCUGCUGGGCAGAUACUGACACUGAGGCGCGACAGCGUGGGGAGCAAAC
rnacentral:rRNA from 1 species